rnacentral:rRNA from 1 species
UACAGAGGGGGCAAGCGUUGUUCGGAAUUACUGGGCGUAAAGGGCGCGUAGGCGGCCCGCUAAGUCGAACGUGAAAUCCCCGAGCUCAACUCGGGAACUGCGUCCGAUACUGGCGGGCUUGAAUCCGGGAGAGGGAUGCGGAAUUCCAGGUGUAGCGGUGAAAUGACGUAGAUAUCUGGAGGAACACCGGUGGCGAAGGCGGCAUCCUGGACCGGCAUUGACGCUGAGGCGCGAAAGCUAGGGGAGCAAACAGGGG